ACUUAGUGGCGGACGGGUGAGUAACGCGUGGGUAACCUGCCCUGUACAGGGGGACAACAGCUGGAAACGGCUGCUAAUACCGCAUAAGCCCUUAGCACUGCACGGUGCAUAGGGAAAAGGAGUAAUCCGGUACAGGAUGGACCCGCGUCUGAUUAGCCAGUUGGCAGGGUAACGGCCUACCAAAGCGACGAUCAGUAGCCGAUCUGAGAGGAUGUACGGCCACAUUGGGACUGAGACACGGCCCAGACUCCUACGGGAGGCAGCAGUGGGGAAUAUUGCACAAUGGAGGAAACUCUGAUGCAGCGACGCCGCGUGAGUGAAGAAGUAUUUCGGUAUGUAAAGCUCUAUCAGCAGGGAAGAAAAUGACGGUACCUGACUAAGAAGCACCGGCUAAAUACGUGCCAGCAGCCGCGGUAAUACGUAUGGUGCAAGCGUUAUCCGGAUUUACUGGGUGUAAAGGGAGCGUAGGUGGCAAGGCAAGCCAGAAGUGAAAACCCGGGGCUCAACCGCGGGAUUGCUUUUGGAACUGUCAUGCUAGAGUGCAGGAGGGGUGAGCGGAAUUCCUAGUGUAGCGGUGAAAUGCGUAGAUAUUAGGAGGAACACCGGAGGCGAAGGCGGCUCACUGGACUGUAACUGACACUGAGGCUCGAAAGCG
rnacentral:rRNA from 1 species